CGAUUUUAAAUCAACAGACACACGACGUCUGGUUUCAAAAAUUAAACGGAUUUCAAGAUAAACGAUGUUUUCUUGAGAGUUCAUUAUAGUUCUCAUCUUUCAAUUAAUUAUGAUUUUGUUGUGGAACUACGGCAAAUGUUGCAAAUUGUGCUUGUAUGAUAAAUUGAUUAAAAUUGAAAGGCUGUUUGACCAAAUUUGUGUAUACAAAUUAAUUUUGAGGACUGUUAAGACCCAUUAGGUAAUC
rnacentral:lncRNA from 1 species